GACGAACGCUGGCGGCGUGCCUAAUACAUGCAAGUCGAACGCUUCUUUCCUCCCGAGUGCUUGCACUCAAUUGGAAAGAGGAGUGGCGGACGGGUGAGUAACACGUGGGUAACCUACCCAUCAGAGGGGGAUAACACUUGGAAACAGGUGCUAAUACCGCAUAACAGUUUAUGCCGCAUGGCAUAAGAGUGAAAGGCGCUCUCGGGUGUCGCUGAUGGAUGGACCCGCGGUGCAUUAGCUAGUUGGUGAGGUAACGGCUCACCAAGGCCACGAUGCAUAGCCGACCUGAGAGGGUGAUCGGCCACACUGGGACUGAGACACGGACCAGACUCCUACGGGAGGCAGCAGUAGGGAAUCUUCGGCAAUGGACGAAAGUCUGACCGAGCAACGCCGCGUGAGUGAAGAAGGUUUUCGGAUCGUAAAACUCUGUUGUUAGAGAAGAACAAGGACGUUAGUAACUGAACGUCCCCUGACGGUAUCUAACCAGAAAGCCACGGCUAACUACGUG
rnacentral:rRNA from 1 species